ACGUGGAUCGAUGAAGUUUGCAUUAAAAUCAUACCAUGAGUUCAAUUACCGUAUACUUUACUCGCCAGCGAUAAUUCGAUGGUUUUGUGAUGUCAUGUUGGUGAACAUGUUAACGUAUCCAACUUCACACUCUAUGAAUGGAUGAAUGAAAGAACGAAUGCCGCUCCUUUCUAACUAUAUAGAAAAGAUAGAGUAGGAAAUAACAAAAAUGUCAAAAAUAACACUGCUAAAUUUAAGUGUCCUAGAACAGUGCUUAAAGCUGAAUUAACAUGAUGAUUUUAAAUUUGUAUUGUUUAUUUCUUGUCAUUGCGACUUUGACGCAGCUGUUGCCAUGACAACAGAUAACAAAACAUGUUUUGUUGAAGGAUUAUUGAUGAAUAAUUUUCCACAAAAAUUUGGAUUUUAACCACGAUAGGAAAAUGAGAACCUGCGCCUAUCCGUUUAAACCGAUUGUAGAAUUUAUGGAAAGAUAUGGCGAUCUGAGUAUGCCCACUGAAGGGCCCCAAGAAAGAGCCAACAAUAGUCAACGGUGGGUGGAACUAACGGACACGCGAACGUGAAAUGCUGAUGCCACCGGCGACACGAAAACUACUGAGAAAUUGAGAAAAGUGUGGAGUGACUUUAAACAGCAAGAAGAAGGCAACUCGCAUACACAGAGCUGCCAAGGGAACACUGGACUGGUGGCGGUCCAGGUUCUUCCCUGAAGCCAAAGGAUUUAGAGCAGAGUGCUUGUAAAUAACUACUUGUAAA